GGAAUAUUGGUCAAUGGGCGCAAGCCUGAACCAGCCAUGCCGCGUGCAGGAUGACGCAUCUAUGGUGUGUAAACUGCUUUUGUACAGGAAGAAACAUCCCGACGAGUCGGGACUUGACGGUACUGUAAGAAUAAGGAUCGGCUAACUCCGUGCCAGCAGCCGCGGUAAUACGGAGGAUCCAAGCGUUAUCCGGAAUCAUUGGGUUUAAAGGGUCCGUAGGCGGCUUAAUAAGUCAGCGGUGAAAGUUUUUGGCUUAACCAAAAAAUUGCCAUUGAUACUGUUAGGCUUGAAUUUUUGUGAAGUAACUAGAAUAUGUAGUGUAGCGGUGAAAUGCUUAGAUAUUACAUGGAAUACCAAUUGCGAAGGCAGGUUACUAACAAACGAUUGACGCUGAUGGACGAAAGCGUGGGUAGCGAACAGGAUUAGAUACCCGUG
rnacentral:rRNA from 1 species